rnacentral:piRNA from 1 species
UAUUAAUCAAACUUUAAAUGUAUGCGUUGC